rnacentral:rRNA from 1 species
GAUUAACGCUAGCGGCAGGCAUAAUACAUGCAAGUUGAACGGCAGCACAGGUAGCAAUACUGGGUGGCGAGUGGCACACGGGUGCGUAACACGUAUGCAACCUACCCUAUACAGGCGAAUAACCUUUAGAAAUGAGGGCUAAUACGCCGUAGUAUUACAGAUGGGCAUCUAUUUGUAAUUAAAGAUUUAUCGGUAUAGGAUGGGCAUGCGUCCCAUUAGUUAGUUGGUAAGGUAACGGCUUACCAAGACGAUGAUGGGUAGGGGAUCUGAGAGGACUUACCCCCACACUGGUACUGAGACACGGACCAGACUCCUACGGGAGGCAGCAGUAAGGAAUAUUGGGCAAUGGCCGCGAGGCUGACCCAGCCAUGCCGCGUGCAGGAAGACGGCCUUAUGGGUUGUAAACUGCUUUUAUACGGGAAUAAUAGAGUGUACGCGUACAUUUAUGCAAGUAUCGUAUGAAUAAGCAUCGGCUAACUCCGUG